AACACUUAGUAAUUUUUUGUUUCCUUUUCACCAAAUCACAUACUACACUCUCUCCCUCACUUACCCUCUUUGCGUGGUGCCCUAACCUAAAAUUAGAACCCACUCACCUCUCUCUUCUCUCGCCACUCUGUCCCUCAAGCCCGUCGCCGGCUCCUCAAGCUUUGGUCGCCCCCUCAAGCUCGUCGCCGCUCAAGCUUUGGUCGCCCCCUCAAGCUCGUCGCUGCCUCAAGCUCUGUCGCCCCCUCAAGCUUGUCACGGCCUCAAGCUCUGUCGCCGCCUUAAGCUCGUCGCCGCCUCAAGCUCACAUCGCCGCCUCAAGCUCGUCGCCGCCUCGAGCUCACGUCGCCGCUUCAAGGUCAUCGCCGCUCAAGCUCUGUCGCGCUCUAUCAUAGUUCGUAAGCUCGCCUUCCUGCUUCGGCCAUCAACGCUUCCUCGGCCCUGAGUCUGGGUUUAGGGUUUCAGCUUCGGCUCGGGUCUUCCAUCAACGCUUGCUUCGUCUCUCUGCCUAUGUGGUUGUUGACCUUGAUUAUAAUCGUAUCACUACAUCAGAGGAAAUUCCACCUAUUCCCGAGCCAGAAUACCGCUUCUUGCGUGGUGAGGUAAUCAAGUUAUUAUACCCCAAUGUAAUUGGAAUUGAUGAAUUGAAGGCUGGAAUAUAUAGUGUAUCUGAGCAUUAUACUAAAUUUGUGGCUAAGCAGUGGGGAGCGGAUCAUGACCUUCAGUUAAGGGACAAGCUACCUUGUACGAGAGACUAGUUUUUUAUGUUGUUAGUUAUUUAAUAUCUAAAGAUAGAGAUGAUGACGUGGCUUAUGAAUUACAUGCUAAAGUUCUAUUAAGGAUUCAAGAACUUGAAUGCUCCAAGAUAAUCCACCUAGAACUCAAGGGAACCAAUGCAUAUUCCAAAGUCAAUUAUCAUC